rnacentral:rRNA from 1 species
GCAGCAGCCGCGGUAAUACGGAGGGGGCUAGCGUUGUUCGGAAUUACUGGGUGUAAAGCGUGCGUAGGUGGUGGUUUAAGUCCGUUGUGAAAGCCCUGGGCUCAACCUGGGAAUUGCAGUGGAUACUGGGUCACUAGAGUGUGGUAGAGGAUAGUGGAAUUUCCGGUGUAGCAGUGAAAUGCGUAGAGAUCGGAAGGAACAUCUGUGGCGAAGGCGACUAUCUGGGCCAACACUGACACUGAGGCACGAAAGCGUGGGGAGCAAACAGGAAUAGAGACCCCUGUAGUCCCUGUCUCUUAUAC